rnacentral:tmRNA from 1 species
GACCUUGGAAGCCGGCCCCGGAAGCCCUAUAUUGAUCGUGCCGGGGCCUGCUCCGGAUAUGGCGAUAAACGCGCUUGUAAUAAGCGGACCGGACCCGGGUGCGAUUCCCGGCGGCUCCACCAUUUCUUCCCCGCGUUAUCGGCGGAGCGAGCAUGGGGCCGACUAGCAUCGACGGACGUGUAAAGAAGCCGCCACGCCCUGGUCGAGGUCAUGCGCGAGAANAGCAUCGACGGACGUGUAAAGAAGACUGCUUUCGCCCGUCCUGGCCCACCGUAUCGGGCCAUUUUCUAACUGCGAACGAUAACUUCGCUGGAGAAGUCGCUCUCGCCGCGUAAGCGGUUCGGGUGAUUUCGAACACUUAAGUCCUGGGGGAUCAGUUCCUCAGGCGGGGCCGCCGGGAGCCUGCCAACAGAAUCCCGGCACU